UAUCGGCGCAUCUGGCUGUGUGUGCGGGUGGUCCGCCAACCGCCCGUUCGCUGGCUGCAGGGACUGACGGCAAAUGCCUUUCCAGUUGUGGCGUCUGCACAGACGUAUUGAGCGGCUGAUCGGGCGGAAGCUGGGAAACCUUUGUCUAAACGGAUUGACGCUUGCUCUCGUACCACUAGUCUUUGGCCUACAGCCGUCCCCAAGGCCCAGCGUGUCCAGCUGUGGGUGCCGCCACGGCGGGUGGUCCCCAGUUUGCACCAGCAGAAUGGACAUCAUCAGCCAUCGGAAGUGCCGCUGUGAUGGUGGCAACCAUUGCAAUCCAGAUGUCGAACGUAAAAAAGCAAGUCCAAGUCGACAACUAUGAUGUCUGAUGGGGACCUAAAGCUCUGACGGGGACAUAAAGCUCUGACGGGGACAUAAAGCUCUGAUGGGGACCUAAAGCUCUGAUGGGGACAUAAAGCUCUGACGGGGACAUAAAGCUCUGAUGGGGACAUAAAGCUCUGAUGGGGACAUAAAGCUCUGACGGGGACAUAAAGCUCUGAUGGGGACAUAAAGCUGGGUACACACCUAAAGAUGUAUCUGUCUGGUGGCAACAAAAAUCUGGUAAUGUAUGGGAG